rnacentral:rRNA from 1 species
UCGGAAUUACUGGGCGUAAAGCGUGCGCAGGCGGUCUGUUAAGACAGAUGUGAAAUCCCCGGGCUUAACCUGGGAACUGCAUUUGUGACUGGCAGGCUAGAGUAUGGCAGAGGGGGGUAGAAUUCCACGUGUAGCAGUGAAAUGCGUAGAGAUGUGGAGGAAUACCGAUGGCGAAGGCAGCCCCCUGGGCCAAUACUGACGCUCAUGCACGAAAGCGUGGGGAGCAAACAGG